CUGAGGAAAUUCUUGAAGACUGCACAAGCCCAUGUUUACGCAAUACAAGAUGACUCCUGCCCUUCUAGGAAGAAUCUCUUACUAAAAUGAAAGAGACAAGACCAACCAGAUGACACUUCCCACUGUUGGUGGGGUGGGGGAAAGGA